rnacentral:lncRNA from 1 species
UCGAGCAGCCCCUUUUAUAGUGAGUCAGGCACACCUGGCAGUUGCCAGGUAACUGUGGGGCGGAGCCUAGACAAAAUGCCAACAAUUAGCCCAAGCCAUAAAUGGGAUAGAAAGCCCGAAGACCCAUCCUAGAGAAACCACCAUGCGGAGAGCAGUGGCUGUGUCCCAGACCAAGAAGAGGGCGUUGGAUUCUCCGGAACUGGAAUUACAGGCGGUUCUGUGCCUCCG